CUGGGGCACCGGCCAGCCGGGGGGACAGGGGAUUUGUCUUUUUCCUUCUUCCCCUCAUCCUGAGUUGCCUGGCGCCGUUUUAAGCGAGGUAAAAUUCAGCGCAUCUAGCAAAGGUAAUAAGCCUCGAAGAGCGGGGCUGUUUUAAAAAGGUGAGGCCUUCUGAUCAAAAUGUCCUUUAUGCCAAAUGAAGGGAAAUCAGGAAAUGAAAGAUAAGGACGUUUAAUUUUGGUGUUGAUUUAAGGAAGACAACAUACCCAUGAUUAAGUUGUUUUUCAUGAUUGAAAAACAACUGCUGAACAGAAAUUUCUUCAAACUGCAUUUCAAAGUUAACAUUUCAAAGAGAACAGCAGCAAUGCCCUGUACACACAAGAAAACAGGAGAAUUCCUGAGCCAGAGCUGUCACCUUCUAUUUUGCUCUUCUGUUUUCAACAUUAGUACUUCCCCAGUAAGCUGUGCAUCAUUAAGUAAAUGCUACAAAAUUCACAAACAUUGAAACAGUUACUACGCAGCUCUGCCAUAGCUAAUUUCCUGCGAUGCAUGCUGGAGAUUUAUGAGUACACAGGUGAUGCUCUUUGAAAUACCAGUUGCACUCCUCCUCUACACCAUUGUUUAAAAAACCUGCUUGGUAAUCCAUGGAUAAACCAAAGCAAUCCACUGUAGGCGGGCCAACAUCCUGGGAAGACCCUGAUUGGUUCCGGGCAGUUUAAGAACUUCACGUGGAAAUCCUUGAAAAAUGCAGAGCCCAGACAAGAAAAAGGAUAUUCGAGCUGGUUGGUGGCAUACUUUGUGCAUUCUGGAAAGCCCUGCUGUAAGAGGUGAACUCAGUCUCUUUGAGCUGUUCAAUGUUUCUGCUUUAAAGAGAGAAGACACCACUGCUAAGUGUUUGGAUUCUACUCCUACAUAUUUUUUACUGCAUCAUGUGUGAGGAGUCAUCUGAAUUCAUAAACCACUCUUCUUCACCACUUCCUAUUUCCAGGAAGCUCCAAGAAUCACCAUCACAUAUGACGGAGGCCUGCUUUCUUGGGGAUGGACGAGCUCUUUCCUACCCAUGGGAGGGCUGUGCUGCUGAUCAUGUUAUUCUGCUGGGCCUGGGAUUCUGAUAACAGCCGUGGUGAUGUGCGUGGGCUGGCAGAUGGCCAGGGCAUCUCUGCUCAUUCUGUGCUACAGUACUGGGCAGGCUGGAACUCCACCGCAAAAUCAACUGAGAGGCACUGUGUCCUGUGAGUGAGUGCACACGGCAGGGAGCAGGGCACCCCAAAGCGUCUGUGGCCACGGAUAUGCCUGUGCCACAGUACGUACAUCUUGAUGUACCUGUGGCCAUGGUUGUGUGUGUACACCGCAGAUACACCUCUGAGAGGGCUGUGGCCCAGGGAUUAAUCCAUGCUGCAGCAAGAACCCCUUGAAGCGUGCAUGAGGUCAUGUUGGAGCACCUCAAUGUGUGUGGCCGGGGAGAGUAGGUAUGUCUCAUGAGGGAGCAUUCAGCCAUGGGUAAGGCUAUGUUGGAGCAGGUUUGCUCCUGAAAGGAUGGUAGCUGUGGGUGAGGAACCCUUCCUACUCCUUUCCCUGCUCUGUAUACUGAGCGUGAUGCCAUAUGGUCUGGAAUAUCCCUUUGGUCAUUUGGGGCCAGCUGUCCCAGCUUUGUCCUCUCCCAGAUCCUUGUGCAUCCCCAGGCCACUCACUGGUUGGGUGCUGUGAGGAGCACAAAAGGCCUGACACUGCUUAAGCCCUGCUCAGCAGUACUAAAAGCAUCCUUGUAUAAUCAUCACUGUUUCCAACACAAAUUCAAAAGACAGCCCCUCUAGAUAACUCUAUCCCAGAAAAAAACUGGAACAGCAUGGAUAUGGUCUUCAUUAUUAGUAUGUUGAAUAAUUUAAUUGCUAAUGAUAAUAAGCAAACACACUGCAUAUAAAUCAUAGUGUUUAAGGAGCAGAAACUGUUUAUAUUACCUGAGUAAUAUAUUCUUGUGGAAUAUAUUGAGCAAAAUUAAUCAAACUUCUUUAAAUUAACUACAGCAACAAGUUUCCAGUAGCCAAUAUUAAAGAGGACGUCUAAAGUUAAUAUUCAGAAAGCAAAAUUCUUAGUGAUAAGUAAAUGCUACAAGUGCUUAAUUUGGGAGUGUUACUUACUGGCACUCAGUAUACUGGGGAACAAAAUAUGAGCAUAUACAUAAUGGUCCAUAUUCUUCAUGAGAGUCAAUACCACAAGGUAAAAUGCCAUCUAGACCGGUAUAACUCUGUAACUAUUGCAGUUUGCUGUCUUACCAUGAACUAGCCUGACUUUGGGAUUUAGCUGUAAAAGAUGCAAAGUAUGUGCUUUACCCUCAACUGUUAGUAUUUGCUCUCUAUUAAGCCUCAAAGAUCAUCUGAGAUUUCUGUUUAACCUGCAGUGGGUUAAAUAUUACUUGCUACCACAUGUGUUUUGAAAUAGCCUUGGUACUAUUAUUAUAUAUUGUGAUAAGUUGUAAUGAAAACAUUAAUUAAAAAAACCCACAUUUCAAUGUUUUUAAAAACAUUUAAUAAUAAAUGAUUAAUUUUAAAGGU